rfam:Leuconostoc pseudomesenteroides PS12 contig_002, whole genome shotgun sequence.
GGUAUUGUUUACCUCACGAUAAGCCCCGGAAACUUAUUGUAAUUGCUUGGCAAGGAACGGCCAAGCCUGUAAACAACUA